rnacentral:rRNA from 1 species
CCUACGGGUGGCAGCAGUGGGGAAUAUUGGACAAUGGGCGAAAGCCUGAUCCAGCCAUGCCGCGUGUGUGAAGAAGGUCUUCGGAUUGUAAAGCACUUUAAGCUGGGAGGAAGGGCAUUAACCUAAUACGUUGGUGUCUUGACGUUACCGACAGAAUAAGCACCGGCUAACUCUGUGCCAGCAGCCGCGGUAAUACAGAGGGUGCAAGCGUUAAUCGGAAUUACUGGGCGUAAAGCGCGCGUAGGUGGUUUGUUAAGUUGAAUGUGAAAUCCCCGGGCUCAACCUGGGAACUGCAUCCAAAACUGGCAAGCUAGAGUAUGGUAGAGGGUAGUGGAAUUUCCUGUGUAGCGGUGAAAUGCGUAGAUAUAGGAAGGAACACCAGUGGCGAAGGCGACUACCUGGACUGAUACUGACACUGAGGUGCGAAAGCGUGGGGAGCAAACAGGAUUAGAUACCCCUGUAGUC